rnacentral:rRNA from 1 species
AACGAACGCUGGCGGCAGGCCUAACACAUGCAAGUCGAACGAACCUUCGGGUUAGUGGCGCACGGGUGCGUAACACGUGGGAAUAUACAUUUCGGUAAGGAAUAACACAGAGAAAUUUGUGCUAAUACCUUAUAAUGACUCCGGUCCAAAGAUUUAUCGCCGAAGGAUUAGCCCGCGCUAGAUUAGUUUGUUGGUGAGGUAAGAGCUCACCAAGACUACGAUCUAUAGCUGGUCUUAGAGGAUGAUCAGCCACACUGGAACUGAGACACGGUCCAGACUCCUACGGGAGGCAGCAGUAAGGAAUAUUGGACAAUGGAGGAAACUCUGAUCCAGCCAUGCCGCGUGAGUGAAGAAGGCCUUCGGGUUGUAAAGACUCUUUUAGUAUGUGACGAUGAUGACGGUAGGCAUCAGAAAAAGACUCCGGCUAACUUCGUGCCAGCAGCCGCGGUAA